rnacentral:lncRNA from 13 species
UAGUGUCAGUAGUUAGUUAUGGUGAGACAAAACCCUGUCUCUCUGUGCUUGUGUCAGUAGUUACUGUCAGUAGCUAGUUAGGGUUGUGUCUCACCCUGUCUCUCUGAGCCUAUGUCAGUAGUUAGUUAGGGAUGGGUCUUACUCUAACUACUGACACAGACUCAGAGAGACAGUGAGACCCAACCCUAACUAACAACUGACAGGCUCAGAGAGACAGUGAGACCCAACCCUAACAAACUACUGACACAGGCUCAGAGAGACAGUGAGACCCAACCCUAACUAAGUACUGACAGGCUCAGAGAAACAGGGUGAGACCCAACUCUGUCUCUCUGAGCCUGUGUCAGUAGUAGUUAGUAGUGUCAGGAGUAGUUAGUAGUGUCAGUAGUAGUUAGUAGUGUCAGUAGUAGUUAGUAGUGUCAGGAGUAGUUAGUAGUGUCAGGAGUAGUUAGUAGUGUCAGGAGUAGUAAGUAUUGUCAGUAGUAGUUAGUAGUGUCAGGAGUAGUUAGUAGUGUCAGGAGUAAUUAGUAGUGUCAGUAGUAGUUAGUAGUGUCAGUAGUAGUUAGUAUUGUCAGUAGUAGUUAGUAGUGUCAGGAGUAGUUAGUAGUGUCAGGAGUAAUUAGUAGUGUCAGUAGUAGUUAGUAGUGUCAGGAGUAGUUAGUAGUGUCAGGAGUAGUUAGUAGUGUCAGUAGUA